rnacentral:lncRNA from 1 species
GGACCCCAAUAAAAGAUGGAUUUCCAUAAAAAAAUUGGACCCCAGCCACUCAACUAACAUAAUUUACUGUGAAAUGCUGUCUCUAACAUGCUGUAGGAAGCAGUGAAGGUGGAGUCAAGAGUCUUGUAAGGGGUCAGAGAUGGUUACUCUUAACUCACCAUUCAAGAACUCACAAAAAACAACAUUUUUGUUUCUCACAUGCACUUCAAAAAUGCUAACCUUCAGAAAUAUGGUGACCUGUAAUUUCACAAAUGCUUUUCAAAGGCUGGAGUAAAUAGAGAGGAGAUUUCAGGGUGGGGGAAUGGGAAGGAAAGUUUGCCUCAUGACUUGCUUCAUCCGUCUCUGGCUAUCUCUCUCGGAACACUCCAUUUGGUGCUUUUUGGCAUGUGGCAGGAUGGUAUAAAACCAUGACCAGACUCCUAGCUCAAUUGGACUCAGGAGGGCUGCUUUUAGCCCUAUGAGGUCCCUCAGGAGCUAAAACAGAACUGCGGAUGGGGACUCCACAUUUGCUUUGUGUCCAGGACACAUCUCAGGCUUGCACACUCAUUCACGCAUUUACCCUCCUUUCAGAGGCAAAUGAAACUGAAUAAAGCAGAAAGCAAAAGCACAAGUUGACUGCUGCUUACCUUGGGCACGCUGGUGCAUUGGAUCUAGAUCCUGGAUGAGACCCCAAAAUAUGACACUGGAAGAUGUUACCAGAAUCUGGGUUCUUGUUCAGGGAGCCAAAGAAUGAACACUAUGAACACACAGGGAGCAAGCAAGCAAAGUCUUCAUAACAGGAAAGCAAACAGCUCCCAGCACAGCUGGGAAGGAGAAGAAGAGACCCCUAAGCAUUUUAUUUUUGAUGUGAGAGUGAAUGGGAUUGUUGAUGUAAUUUCUUUCGGAUCUUUUGUUUUUAGUAUAUAGGAGGGCAAGAGAUUUCUGUGUAUUAAUUUUAUAUCCUGAAACAUUGCUGAAUUCAUUGAUGAGAUGUAGUAGUUUUCUGGGCGCUUCUUUAGCAUUUUCUAUGUAUAUAAAAUGUCAUGUGCAAACAUUGACUUUUACUUCUUCUUUUCAAUUUGGAUUCUUUUUAUUUCUUUUUCUUCUCUGACUACCAUGUCUAGGACUUCUGAAACUAUGUUGAAUAAAAGUGAUGAGAGUGGACAUCCUUGCUUUGUUCCUUAUCUUAGAAUGAAUGCUCUUUGAUUCUCUUUAAUUUUGUCAGUUUGAUUAAUAUGUGUCUUGGCAUGUUCCUCUUUGGAUUUAUCCUGUGUGAGACUUUGCAGUUCCUGGACUUGAGUGAAUGAUUCUUUACCCAUGUCACAGAAGUUUUCAGUUAUGAUGUCUUCAAAUAUUUCCUCAGAUUCUUUCUAUCUGUCUUCUCCUUCAGUGUCCUCCUCUAAUGUGAAUGUUGUCAUGUUUAAUGUUGUCCCAGAGGUCUCUUUGACUGUCCUCAUUUAUUUUAAUUUGUUUUACUAUUUUCCAUAGCAUUUAUUUCCACUGCUCUGUCUUCCAGCUCGCUUAUUCAUUUUUCCCUUUCAGUUUUCUGCUAUUAACUUCUUCUAGUGUACUUUUCCUUUCACUUAUUGCAUUGUUCAUAUGUGUUUUUUCUUUAAACCUAGCUCUUUGCUGAACAUUUCUUGUAACUUCUUGGUUUGUGCAUGCAUUCUUUUUUCAAUUCUUGGGUCAUCCUUACUUACUAUCAUUACUGUGAAUUAUUUUUCCGGUAGAUUGCCUAUUUCUUCUUCAUUUAGUUGUUUUUGUGGGUUUUUUAAAAAUUCUGUUCCUUUGUGUGAAACAUAUUUCUCUGCUAUCUCAUUUUGUCUAAGUUUCUCUGUUUGUGACCUCCUUUCCAAAGGCUGCAGAGUCAUAGUUCCUCUUGUUUCUGGUGUCUUCCUUUUGGUAGGUGAGAUUUUUCCAGAGGCUUGUUUAGCCUUCCUAUUUGGAGGGACUGGUUCCUGCCCACUUGUGGGUGGAGCUGGGUCAUUUCAAGGGGUGUGUUUAGAAGUGGAUGUGAGGAGUUCCCGUCGUGGCACAGUGGUUGGCGAAUCUGACUAGGAACUGUGGGGUUGUGGGUUCGAUCCCUGCCCUUGCUCAGUGGGUUGACGAUCCAGCGUUGCCAUGAGCUGUGGUGUAGGUUGCGGACAGGGCUUGGAUCCCGAGUUGCUGUGGCUCUGGUGUAGGCUGGCGGCUGCGGCUCCGAUUGGACCCCUAGCCUGGGAAGCUCCAUAUGCCGUGGGACUGUCCCAAGAAAUGGCAGGAAGACAAAAAAAAAAAAAAAA